rnacentral:miRNA from 1 species
AUAUGUGCAGACUUGUAUGUGCAUGUAUAUAUAUCAUACACAUGCAGGAUUCACAUACAUACACAUACUCAUAU